rnacentral:precursor_RNA from 1 species
AAAAAAAAAAAAAAAAAUUAGUUUUAAUAUGAAUUUAAAAAAGAGAUUAAGGUUAGAAAAAAAAAUUCUAAUAUUAAAAUAAAUUUAUUUAUACAUUUUUUUUUAUUAUGAAUUAUUUAUUUUAAAAAUAAGUUUGAAUAAGUUUUUUAUUUAUAUAUAUAUUAAGAAUAUAUAUAUAUCUAUUAAACUUUUUGAACUUAGUUUAUUUUAACAUUUUUAUUUUUAUAUUAAAACAAUUAUAUUUAAGUUAAAUAAUUUUAAAUAAACUUUUUUUUUUUUUCUUUUUUGAUAAUAUAUUUUUAAAUAUUAAUAAAUAUUAUGAAAAAGAAAUAGUUUAAAUCAAUAAAUAUCAAGAAAAAUAUGUAAUAAUAAAAUAAGUUCGCUAAUAUUGGAAAAUUCAGAAGGAAAAAGAAUGUUUUCUUUUUUCUAAGUUUAAAAAUAAAAUAUAAUUAUAUAUAAACAGUAAAAUAAAUUUAAGCAUUAUUUUAAUUUUUUGGUACAUUUAAAAUUCUCUAUUUUUUUUUAAUAGACCAUUUUAUUAAAAUUUUUGCUUCAAAUGAGGUGAAAGUUUUAUAUUAAGUAAAAAAAAAUACAUUAAUAAUUAAAUUAAAGUAUUUUUUUUAAUGUAAAUCUGUUAAUUUAUAUACUAUAUAUUUAUAACUUGAUUAUAAAACAAAGCAUCAUAAUAAUUAUAAAAUAUUUUUUAUAUAGAUAAAUUAUAUUAUAAUAUAUUAGGUGUUCUAUGUCUUUUCAUAGAAUUAUAUAUUUUAAAAAAAAAAAUAAUUCUGUGUCUAAAGAUAAUAACAUUAAUAAAACAUCAAAUGUGAUUUAAAUGAGAAAUAACAAAUAAUAUAUAUAUCAUAUAUUUUAUUUGUUUAUUUUUAAGUUUAAAAACAUUUUAACAAUAUUUAUAUUAUUUAUAUAUUCAUAAAAUAUAUUAUAUAUAAAAUACAUUUAAAACAAAUUAAAUUAAUUUUAUUUUGUUGAUUUAUGUAUAAUAUAUAUCUAAAUUUUUUUAUGAAUAAGAAAUAAUAUAUAUAGU